rnacentral:lncRNA from 1 species
AUGCUCAAAAUUCUCCAAGCCAGGCUUCAACAAUACAUGAACCGUGAACUCCCUGAUGUUCAAGCUGGUUUUAGAAAAGGCAGAAGAACCAGAGAUCAAAUUGCCGACAUCCACUGGAUCAUGGAAAAAGCAAAAGAGUUCCAGAAAAAUAUCUAUUUCUGCUUGAUUGACAAUGCCAAAGCCUUUGACUGUGUGGAUCCCAAUAAACUGUGGAAAAUUCUGAAAGAGAAGGGAAUACCAGAUCACCUAACCUGCCUCUUGAGAAAUCUGUAUACAGGCCAGGAAGCAACAGUUAGAACUGGACAUGGAACAACAGACUGGUUCCAAAUAGGAAAAGGAGUAUGUCAAGGCUGUAUAUUGUCACCCUGCUUAUUUAACUUAUAUGCAGAGUACAUCAUGAGAAACGCUGGACUGGAAGAAACACAAGCUGGAAUCAAGAUUGCCGGGAGAAAUAUCAAUAACCUCAGAUAUACAGAUGACACCAUCCUUAUGGCAGAAAGUGAAGAGGAGCUAAAAAGCCUCUUGAUGAAAGUGAAAGAGGAGAGUGAAAAAGUUGGCUUAAAGCUCAACAUUCAGAAAACGAAGAUCAUGGCAUCCAGUCCCAUCACUUCAUGGGAAAUAAAUGGGGAAACAGUGGAAACAGUGUCAGACUUUAUUUUUUUGGGCUCCAAAAUCACUGCAGAUGGUGACUGCAGCCAUGAAAUUAAAAGAUGCUUACUCCUUGGAAGAAAAGAUAUGACCAACCUAGAUAGCAUAUUCAAAAGCAGAGACAUUACUUUGCUGACUAAGGUCCGUCUAGUCAAGGCUAUGGUUUUUCCUGUGGUCAUGUAUAGAUGUGAGAGUUGGACUGUGAAGAAGGCUGAGCGCCGAAGAAUUGGUGCUUUUGAACUGUGGUGUUGGAGAAGACUCUUGAGAGUCCCUUGGACUGCAAGGAGACCCAACCAGUCCAUUCUGAAGGAGAUCAGCCCUGGGAUUUCUUUGGAAGGAAUGAUGCUAAAGCUGAAACUCCAGUACUUUGGCCACCUCAUGCGAAGAGUUGACUCAUUGGAAAAGACUCUGAUGCUGGGAGGGAUUGGGGGCAGGAGGAGAAAGGGACGACAGAGGAUGAGAUGGCUGUAUGGCAUCAUGGACUCGAUGGACGUGAGUCUGAGUGAACUCCAGGAGAUGGUGAUGAACAGGGAGGCCUGGCGUGCUGCGAUUCAUGGGGCCGCAAAGAGUCGGACACGACUGAGCAACUGA